rnacentral:rRNA from 1 species
UACGGAGGGUGCAAGCGUUAUCCGGAUUCACUGGGCUUAAAGGGUGCGUAGGUGGGCAUGUAAGUCAGUGGUGAAAUCUCCGGGCUUAACCCGGAAACUGCCAUUGAUACUAUUUGUCUAGAAUACCGUGGAGGUCAGCGGAAUAUGUCAUGUAGCGGUGAAAUGCUUAGAUAUGACAUAGAACACCAAUUGCGAAGGCAGCUGGCUACACGAAUAUUGACACUGAUGCACGAAAGCGUGGGGAUCAAACAGG